GAUGAACGCUGGCGGCGUGCUUAACACAUGCAAGUCGAACGAUGAGGCCCAACUUGCUGGGUGGAUUAGUGGCGAACGGGUGAGUAACACGUGAGUAACCUGCCCUUAACUCUGGGAUAAGCCUGGGAAACUGGGUCUAAUACCGGAUAGGAGCGUCCACCGCAUGGUGGGUGUUGGAAAGAUUUAUCGGUUUUGGAUGGACUCGCGGCCUAUCAGCUUGUUGGUGAGGUAAUGGCUCACCAAGGCGACGACGGGUAGCCGGCCUGAGAGGGUGACCGGCCACACUGGGACUGAGACACGGCCCAGACUCCUACGGGAGGCAGCAGUGGGGAAUAUUGCACAAUGGGCGCAAGCCUGAUGCAGCGACGCCGCGUGAGGGAUGACGGCCUUCGGGUUGUAAACCUCUUUCAGUAGGGAAGAAGCGAAAGUGACGGUACCUGCAGAAGAAGCACCGGCUAACUACGUG
rnacentral:rRNA from 1 species